rnacentral:rRNA from 1 species
AGUGAACGCUGGCGGCGUGCUUAACACAUGCAAGUCGAACGAGAACGGGCUAUAGCUGGCUAUAGUUGUCAGCUAAGUGGCGCACGGGUGCGUAAUGUAUAGGUAAUAUGCCUCUUACUAAGGGAUAACAAAUGGAAACGUUUGCUAAUACCUUAUACUCCUUAUUAACAGAAGUUAAUAAGUGACAGAUUUAUUGGUAAGAAAUGAGCCUGUAUUGUAUCAGUUAGUUGGUGGGGUAAUGGCUUACAAAGACUAUGACACAUAACUGGUUUGAGAGGAUGAUCAGUCACACUGGAACUGAGACACGGUCCAGACUCCUACGGGAGGCAGCAGUGGGGAAUAUUGCACAAUGGACGAAAGUCUGAUGCAGCAACGCCGCGUGGAGGAUGACACAUUUCGGUGCGUAAACUCCUUUUAUAUGAGAAGAUAAUGACGGUAUUAUAUGAAUAAGCACCGGCUAACUCCGUGCCAGCAGCCGCAGUAA